rnacentral:rRNA from 1 species
GAUGAACGCUGGCGGCGUGCCUAAUACAUGCAAGUCGAGCGAACGGACGAGAAGCUUGCUUCUCUGAUGUUAGCGGCGGACGGGUGAGUAACACGUGGAUAACCUACCUAUAAGACUGGGUUAACUUCGGGAAACCGAAGCAAUUACCGGUUAAUAUUUUGACCCCAUGGGUUCAAAAUUAAAAGCGGUUUUUGUUGUACCUUUAGAUUGGAUCCGCGCUGCAUUAGCUAGUUGGUAAGGUAACGGCUUACCAAGGCAACGAUGCAUAGCCGACCUGAGAGGGUGAUCGGCCACACUGGAACUGAGACACGGUCCAGACUCCUACGGGAGGCAGCAGUAGGGAAUCUUCCGCAAUGGGCGAAAGCCUGACGGAGCAACGCCGCGUGAGUGAUGAAGGUCUUCGGAUCGUAAAACUCUGUUAUUAGGGAAGAACAUAUGUGUAAGUAACUGUGCACAUCUUGACGGUACCUAAUCAGAAAGCCACGGCUAACUACGUG